rnacentral:sRNA from 1 species
UACCUCGUCGCCAAUGUUGUGUUAGCGU